rnacentral:rRNA from 1 species
GACGAACGCUGGCGGCGUGCCUAAUACAUGCAAGUCGAACGAGAGCGACCGGUGCUUGCACUGGUCAAUCUAGUGGCGAACGGGUGAGUAACACGUGGGUAACCUGCCCAUCAGAGGGGGAUAACAUUCGGAAACGGAUGCUAAAACCGCAUAGGUCUUCGAACCGCAUGGUUUGAAGAGGAAAAGAGGCGCAAGCUUCUGCUGAUGGAUGGACCCGCGGUGCAUUAGCUAGUUGGUGAGGUAACGGCUCACCAAGGCCGUGAUGCAUAGCCGACCUGAGAGGGUGAUCGGCCACAUUGGGACUGAGACACGGCCCAAACUCCUACGGGAGGCAGCAGUAGGGAAUCUUCCGCAAUGGACGCAAGUCUGACGGAGCAACGCCGCGUGAGUGAAGAAGGUUUUCGGAUCGUAAAACUCUGUUGUUAGAGAAGAACAAGUGCUAGAGUAACUGUUAGCGCCUUGACGGUAUCUAACCAGAAAGCCACGGCUAACUACGAG